rnacentral:rRNA from 1 species
AUGAACGCUGGCGGCGUGCCUAAUACAUGCAAGUUGAGCGAACAGACGAGGAGCUUGCUCCUCUGACGUUAGCGGCGGACGGGUGAGUAACACGUGGAUAACCUACCUAUAAGACUGGGAUAACUUCGGGAAACCGGAGCUAAUACCGGAUAAUAUAUUGAACCGCAUGGUUCAAUAGUGAAAGACGGUUUUGCUGUCACUUAUAGAUGGAUCCGCGCCGCAUUAGCUAGUUGGUAAGGUAACGGCUUACCAAGGCAACGAUGCGUAGCCGACCUGAGAGGGUGAUCGGCCACACUGGAACUGAGACACGGUCCAGACUCCUACGGGAGGCAGCAGUAGGGAAUCUUCCGCAAAGGGCGAAAGCCUGACGGAGCAACGCCGCGUGAGUGAUGAAGGUCUUCGGAUCGUAAAACUCUGUUAUUAGGGAAGAACAAAUGUGUAAGUAACUAUGCACGUCUUGACGGUACCUAAUCAGAAAGCCACGGCUAACUACGUG